UGGGGAAUAUUGCACAAUGGGCGCAAGCCUGAUGCAGCCAUGCCGCGUGUAUGAAGAAGGCCUUCGGGUUGUAAAGUACUUUCAGUCGGGAGGAAGGUGGUAAGGUUAAUAACCUUAUCAAUUGACGUUACCGACAGAAGAAGCACCGGCUAACUCCGUGCCAGCAGCCGCGGUAAUACGGAGGGUGCAAGCGUUAAUCGGAAUUACUGGGCGUAAAGCGCACGCAGGCGGUUGAUUGAGUCAGAUGUGAAAUCCCCGGGCUUAACCCGGGAAUUGCAUCUGAUACUGGUCAGCUAGAGUCUUGUAGAGGGGGGUAGAAUUCCAGGUGUAGCGGUGAAAUGCGUAGAGAUCUGGAGGACUACCGGUGGCGAAGGCGGCCCCCUGGACAAAGACUGACGCUCAGGUGCGAAAGCGUGGGGAGCAAACAGG
rnacentral:rRNA from 1 species